AUUGAACGCUGGCGGCAUGCCUUACACAUGCAAGUCGAACGGCAGCACGGGUGCUUGCACCUGGUGGCGAGUGGCGAACGGGUGAGUAAUACAUCAGAACGUACCUUAUCGUGGGGGAUAACGCAGCGAAAGCUGUGCUAAUACCGCAUACGCCCUGAGGGGGAAAGCGGGGGAUCGAAAGACCUCGCGCGAUUAGAGCGGCCGAUGCCUGAUUAGCUUGUUGGGGGGGUAAAAGCCCACCAAGGCGACGAUCAGUAGCUGGUCUGAGAGGACGAUCAGCCACACUGGUGCUGGGACACGGCCCAGAUGCCUACGGGAGGCAGCAGUGGGGAAUUUUGGACAAUGGGGGCAACCCUGAUCCAGCAAUGCCGCGUGAGUGAAGAAGGCCUUCGGGUUGUAAAGCUCUUUUGUCAGGGAAGAAACACCGGCUCUAACACAGUCCGGGAAUGACGGUACCUGAAGAAUAAGCACCGGCUAACUACGUGCCAGCCGCCGCAGUAA
rnacentral:rRNA from 1 species